CCUACGGGAUGCAGCAGUGGGGAAUAUUGCACAAUGGGGGGAACCCUGAUGCAGCAAUGCCGCGUGGGUGAAGAAGCACUCCGGUGCGUAAAGCCCUGUCAGCAGGGAAGAAAAUGACAGUACCUGGACAAGAAGCCCCGGCUAACUACGUGCCAGCAGCCGCGGUAAUACGUAGGGGGCAAGCGUUAUCCGGAUUUACUGGGUGUAAAGGGAGCGCAGGCGGCGGGGCAAGUCAGCUGUGAAAACCCGGGGCCCAACCCCGGGAGUGCAGUUGAAACUGCCAUGCUGGAGUGCCGGAGAGGUAAGCGGAAUUCCUAGUGUAGCGGUGAAAUGCGGAGAUAUUAGGAGGAACUCCGAUGGCGAAGGCAGCGCACUGGACUGCAACUGACACUGAUGCUCGAAAGUGUGGGUAUCAAACAGGAUUAGAUACCCCUGUAGUC
rnacentral:rRNA from 1 species